rnacentral:rRNA from 1 species
AUUGAACGCUGGCGGCAUGCUUUACACAUGCAAGUCGAACGGUAACAGGCCUUCGGGUGCUGACGAGUGGCGAACGGGUGAGUAAUGCAUCGGAACGUACCCAGAGGUGGGGGAUAACGCAGCGAAAGCUGUGCUAAUACCGCAUGUGAUCUGAAGAUGAAAGCGGGGGACCGAGCAGCAAUGUUUGGCCUCGCGCCUUUGGAGCGGCCGAUGUCGGAUUAGCUAGUUGGUGGGGUAAAGGCCUACCAAGGCGACGAUCCGUAGCUGGUCUGAGAGGACGACCAGCCACACUGGGACUGAGACACGGCCCAGACUCCUACGGGAGGCAGCAGUGGGGAAUUUUGGACAAUGGGCGCAAGCCUGAUCCAGCAAUGCCGCGUGCGGGAAGAAGGCCUUCGGGUUGUAAACCGCUUUUGGCAGGAACGAAACGGUGUCCGCUAAUACCGGGCGCUAAUGACGGUACCUGCAGAAUAAGCACCGGCUAACUACGUG